AGCCACGCUGGCCCGGUUGCGGGCGGCGUAGGGCGGGGCUGCGAGUGGCGCGGCUCCGGGCUGCGCGUGGCUC
rnacentral:tRNA from 1 species